rnacentral:snoRNA from 1 species
GGGCGGGCUUGAGGAGAAAAGGGAAUCUUGUUCCAGAAGGAACUUUAUGA